rnacentral:rRNA from 1 species
AAUGAACGUUGGCGGCGUGGAUUAGGCAUGCAAGUCGAGCGAGAAGGGUUCUGGUGCUUGCAUUGGAACCCCAAGCGGCGAAAGGGAGAGUAACGCGUAGUUACCUGCCCCAGGGUCCAGAAUAGCCACGGGAAACUGUGGGUAAUGCUGGAUAAUAUCUCCGGAUCAAAGGUGAGAUUCCGCCCUGGGAGGGGACUGCGUCCUACUAGCUAGUUGGCGGGUAAUGGCCCACAAGGCGACGAUGGGUAGCGGGUGUGAGAGCAUGACCCGUCUCACUGGGACUGAGACACUGCCCAGACACCUACGGGUGGCUG